AGUACAUGAAAGAAAACAUCAAUCUUAUUAUUUACUAAAGCAUCUCAAAUUUAUUUUACAAACCACUGAAGAGAUUCAGCUCUUGAAACCCAAACAUCACAAACAAAGCCAAAACACACAAAUAAUUAAACAAACCCAUACAAAUGAAAGGGAAAGUUUUUCAAAAAAGAUGGUGGUGAUGGUCCUUGCCCUCAGCCUCUCUCUCUUCUUUCUUUGCUUCCUUCUUCUCGUGAUGCUCAUGGAGCACAAAUCCCCCAGCCCCGACAGCCACGGCAGCCGCGACUUCCUCCUUUAACUUGUGUUCAUGGCUGUGCUGGCUGUCUUUUUUCGCCUCGUGCUUCUCAUGCAGAGCAUAGGCACCAGCUGCGGUGGCACCGAGCUCGCCGAGGUGUUCAAGGUGCUUGUGGUGCUUCUUCUCUUUCUCGUAGUCGACGACGCCGGAGUUUUCUUCUUCUUCCUUGUGGUGGUGGAAAAGGUGGUGGUGGUGGUGGUGGCCUUGCUCUUCUUCUGCCAUGGCUUUGAGGGCUUUAGUUGGUUUGAGAUGGGGUUCCAUUGAUUUUGCAGAAUGUCCA
rnacentral:misc_RNA from 1 species